UCGGAGUAACUGCCGGUACCUUGACGGUACCUAACCAGAAAGCCACGGCUAACUACGUGCCAGCAGCCGCGGUAAUACGUAGGUGGCAAGCGUUGUCCGGAAUUAUUGGGCGUAAAGCGCGCGCAGGCGGUCCUUUAAGUCUGAUGUGAAAGCCCACGGCUCAACCGUGGAGGGUCAUUGGAAACUGGAGGACUUGAGUGCAGAAGAGGAGAGUGGAAUUCCACGUGUAGCGGUGAAAUGCGUAGAGAUGUGGAGGAACACCAGUGGCGAAGGCGACUCUCUGGUCUGUAACUGACGCUGAGGCGCGAAAGCGUGGGUAGCGAACAGGAUUAGAUACCCUGGUAGUCCACGCCGUAAACGAUGAGUGCUAAGUGUUAGAGGGUUUCCGCCCUUUAGUGCUGCAGUUAACGCAUUAAGCACUCCGCCUGGGGAGUACGGCCGCAAGGCUGAAACUCAAAGGAAUUGACGGGGGCCCGCACAAGCGGUGGAGCAUGUGGUUUAAUUCGAAGCAACGCGAAGAACCUUACCAGGUCUUGACAUCCCGCUGACCGGUAUAGAGAUAUACCUUUCCCUUCGGGGACAGCGGUGACAGGUGGUGCAUGGUUGUCGUCAGCUCGUGUCGUGAGAUGUUGGGUUAAGUCCCGCAACGAGCGCAACCCUUAAUCUUAGUUGCCAGCAUUCAGUUGGGCACUCUAAGGUGACUGCCGGUGACAAACCGGAGGAAGGUGGGGAUGACGUCAAAUCAUCAUGCCCCUUAUGACCUGGGCUACACACGUGCUACAAUGGAUGGUACAAAGGGUCGCAAAACCGCGAGGUCAAGCUAAUCCCAUAAAACCAUUCUCAGUUCGGAUUGCAGGCUGCAACUCGCCUGCAUGAAGCCGGAAUCGCUAGUAAUCGUAGAUCAGAAUGCUACGGUGAAUACGUUCCCGGGCCUUGUACACACCGCCCGUCACACCACGAGAGUUUGUAACACCCGAAGUCGGUGGGGUAACCCUUUUGGGAGCCAGCCGCCGAAGGUGGGACAGAUGAUUGGGGUGAAGUCGUAACAAGGUAACC
rnacentral:rRNA from 1 species